ensembl:misc_RNA Metazoa_SRP Metazoan signal recognition particle RNA
GCCGGGCAUGGUGGUGCAUGCCUGUAAUCCCAGUGACUCGGGAGGCUGAGAUGCGAGGAUCACUUGAGCCUAGGAGUUCAAGGCUGCAGUGAGCUAUGAUUGUGCCACUGCACUCCAGCCUGGGCCACAGAGUAAGACCUGUCUCUA